GCCAGCCCGCUCAGAAACUCAAAGGAAUUGACGGGGGCCCGCACAAGCGGUGGAGUAUGUGGUUUAAUUCGAUGCAACGCGAAGAACCUUACCUGGUCUUGACAUCCCGGAGACCCUUAGGAAACUAGGGGUGCUUCCAUCUGGAAGAAUCUGGAGACAGGUGCUGCAUGGCUGUCGUCAGCUCGUGUCGUGAGAUGUUGGGUUAAGUCCCGCAACGAGCGCAACCCUUGCCUUUAGUUGCCAGCAGUUCGGCUGGGCACUCUAAAGGGACUGCCGGUGUUAAACCGGAGGAAGGUGGGGAUGACGUCAAGUCCUCAUGGCCUUUAUGACCAGGGCUACACACGUACUACAAUGGCCGAUACAAAGGGCAGCGACACUGCGAGGUGAAGCCAAUCCCGUAAAAUCGGUCUCAGUCCGGAUUGGAGUCUGCAACUCGACUCCAUGAAGUUGGAAUCGCUAGUAAUCGUGGAUCAGCAUGCCACGGUGAAUACGUUCCCGGGCCUU
rnacentral:rRNA from 1 species